UUGAUAUGCAUAAACUAGGUUUUGUUGAGAGUGAGUAGUCCUUUUAUAAGAGACAACAAAACCUAGAUCUUCUCUACCUCUACUGCUGUGCUACUAACUUUCUGUGGGAGAGUACAACUUUCAGCUGUGGUCAACUUGUCAUCUUCAUAGAGCAACUUUGUAUGGGACCAGGUCUCAUGGAUACUAACUUCAACAGUCG
rnacentral:lncRNA from 1 species